CUUAUUCCCGGAAACAUAGCUCAAUGGAAUAAGCUCUGUAACUUUUAUUUAGCAUAUCAUACAUACAAGUAUACUGAUAUUAUAUUAGGACUUAAUGACGGAUAACAUAACACUUAUUUUUAACUGCAUACAUAGCAUGGUCUUGUCAUAUCUUCUUAUGUUGUAUCUAUUAUUCAUGUACAUACUCUAUGUGGUAUUCACAUGGUUGUGUCGCCAUUGACUUCCUUGUUGUAGGUGCUCAACAGGAGAAGCACUCAAUAGGAGAAGCAGGAGCAGCCGAGCGUUCGCCUGGUUGCAGGUCGACUUCAGGUCCCUUCUCUUCUUACUGAUUUAUUCCUCCCCUUCUCUUCCAGUCCCCUACUCACAGAGCUUCUCAUUUUGUUUUUCUAGAUUUGGUUUCUCUAUGUCUACAGGUUGUUUGAUGAAAAUCCAAAAAGGCUGACAUGGGAGAAUUAAUCUAUGCAAGUCAUGUGAUUUUAUUUUUCUAUAAUUUAGUUCCAGUCAAAGAUAACAAGUUGAGUAGUCCCAUUAAUUUUUUGCAAUUUAGGGCAUUGAAGGAGAUCAGAAUGCUUUUAUUUGUAUUUACAUCAUGUUCUUUAUUAUAGAACAACCACAGUGGAGAAAAUUAUCUCAUAUCUUUUGGAUGAUUUGGUUUAAUUGGCUAUUACGCAUGUUGGAAUGAAUUAGCAAGUACAGAAAUGAAUAACUGCAGCUCCUUCCCGAUUAGGUCGGGUUAAAUGCUUCCCAAAUACAAAUGGUCUCAGGAAAAAGGCAAAUAUGCAAUAAUUUUGUGUUUUUUCAAAGUAAGUAGAGUGGGUUACUACUAAACCAGAGGACGGGUAGUCAUUGCUUACUUAUGUAAAUAGAGAUCCAAUUGUCUCUUAUUAUGUGUAGGCAUAAAGUUGGAUCUUGGAUGCUUGGCAACGCCUUUCUAUGUUGUUUUCCUAUUUAUUUUAUUUAUUGUGCUUCCCUUUUUUGGACUACAAUGUUCUGGGAGGUGAGGAAAUGAGAUUGAACUACGUGUUUUCUUUUCAGGUAUACUUGAAGUUAACGAGUUUCCAAUUCCUUGUUGUUGUUAAUAAUAUGAAAGUGCAACCGUGGUUUUUGCUCCCAGCUGAUGCAUACUGCUUUGCUUGCAGCUAUCAUCAGCCAUUGUUGCUGGUACUGUCCCUUUUUGAGAACCAAAGAAAUAUUGAUUUUCAGCUCAGAUGUGUGUGUUAGGUGAUGUUGCAUGCCAUUUUUGUUCAUCGGCCUGGCAUGAUUUGGAUUGGAUCACCUGCGGAGGCAGGUUUCAUCACCUCGGACGGAGGGAGUAUAUGAUGUAAUUGGCCACUAUCACUAAGAAGUGCUCCUGGACACAAUGCUCUAUAUUAUCAUGUCU
rnacentral:lncRNA from 1 species